UUUGCUGAGGACAUAUUACAUGACCGAACCAUUGAGUUGACAACUCAGCCAAGGCCAUGGCAGAUCACAGGUGGGGAAUAGCCACUACCCUCCUGGAAAACACUGAGGUCCUUACAAAUCGGUGUCACUUUUGUGGAGAAGAGGAAAGUGAUGACCCAAAAUGGUAACAAACCCCAGAUUGGCUGUGACAAGUGCUAUCGGUGGUAUCACCAGGUUUGUGCACAAUGGACAGAAUUGGAGGGGAGCUAUGUUUGUCCUGCCUGCAAAUAAAUGCAAAAGUGUGCUACGCCACCGCGGACCUCUCAGGCCUCAAAUGAACAAAUCUACAUGGACACUGGAAGGGUGCAGCAAUGUCCCUUACUGCUACCCAUUGUUGUUGUUGUUUUUUUGUUUGUAAAUAUUGUAAAUAGUUUUAACUAUUAUUGUUAAGAUCGUGCACACAAAUUUGCCAACUUAAUUUAAUUAAUGUUAUUAAAAAAUCA